rnacentral:tRNA from 1 species
AGUCUUAAUAAAAAUUUAAAUUGCAAAUUUAAGGAAGAUGAAAUUAUUAAACAUCUAAGAUUU